UAUAUCAAUGCUGGAAGACGACCAAUACUGUUCGGGAUUUCACCUGAUAAUUGAUUGUAGAACAGCUUCAAAAGUGAUAAUUUCUGAAGCUUUCCAAAAUCAUCAGGUAUUGUCCCCGUCAAAUUAUUAUCUGAAAGAUCGAGUUCAACUAAAUUCAAAGCUUCAACAGCACGAGGGAUCUCCCCCGAUAGCUCGUUCUUGAAAA
rnacentral:misc_RNA from 1 species